AUCGCUUCUCGGCCUUUUGGCUAAGAUCAAGUGUAGUUAUCUUUGUGAAUUAUAUGUGUUUACUGAAAAUGUUGAAUCAUAUAUGUAAUCAAU
rnacentral:snRNA from 1 species